GAAUAUUGGGCAAUGCCCGCAAGGGUGACCCAGCAACGCCGCGUGGAGGAUGAAUGUCGUAAGAUUGUAAACUCCUGUUAGAGGGGAAGAAUAGUACCGGUUGGACCGGUAUAUGACUGUACCCUCAGAGAAAGCCCCGGCUAACCACGUGCCAGCAGCCGCGGUAAUACGUAGGGGGCAAGCGUUGUCCGGAUUUACUGGGUGAAAAGGGCGCGCAGGAAGGAUAAAAAGUCAGUGGUGAAAUCCUACAGCUUAACUGUAGAACUGCCUUUGAUACUUUUAUUCUUGAGUUCGGGAGAGAGAGACGGAAUUCCAGGUGUAGUGGUGAAAUACGUAGAUAUCUGGAAGAACACCAGUUGCGAAGGCGGUCUCUUGGUCCGACACUGACGCUGAGGCGCGAAAGCGUGGGGAGCAAACA
rnacentral:rRNA from 1 species